UACGGAGGGUGCAAGCGUUAUCCGGAUUCACUGGGUUUAAAGGGUGCGUAGGUGGGUCUGUAAGUCAGUGGUGAAAUCUCCGAGCUUAACUUGGAAACUGCCAUUGAUACUAUCUGUCUUGAAUAUCCUGGAGGUGAGCGGAAUAUGUCAUGUAGCGGUGAAAUGCUUAGAUAUGACAUAGAACACCAAUUGCGAAGGCAGCUCACUACCCGAAUAUUGACUCUGAGGCACGAAAGCGUGGGGAGUCAAACAGGA
rnacentral:rRNA from 1 species